rnacentral:sRNA from 1 species
GGCCAGAGGAGUUGAAACUCGAUGAUCUGUAGAGUUGGCUGAAAACGAGUGGAAAAAUAUAUGUAAAGAAUUGAAUUUACAAAUUUAAAACUUGCAGACUUUGCUACUGUGAAUUGUUUCGAGCGGUUUGUGUCUGUACUAUGCCAGUAUUUCUGGUGUCUGCGCUCAAUGGGAGCUUUUUAAGCAAUACGCCUAGUGCAGACACAAACCGCAGCACAAUCAAAUCAAAACUGUAAAAUGCAAUGCGUACCAAACUGUAUUUAGCCAAGACACUGACAAAUGUAUCUCGCGCUCUGGCUGCCAAACUGUGACUGUAAUACCGUGACUGUCAAACCAAUUCAAAUUGAAUCAAAAUGCAAUCAAGCUCAUAUAGAACAAAUACAUUUACAGCAAAGAAAAACUUACCUAGCUAAGGCAUUGGAACUUAUCUGCCUGCGGCCGGAACUGCAAACAAAUUGAGAAUAAAUGUUG